UCCCGUGUGGCUCAGUUGGUAGAGCAUGGUGUUUGCAACGCCAGGGUUGUGGGUUCGUUUCCGACGGGGGAC
rnacentral:tRNA from 1 species